GACAGAGGGGGCAAGCGUUGUCCGGAGUUACUGGGCGUAAAGGGCGCGGAGGCGGGGCGGUAAGUCAGUGGUGAAAGCCUGCAGCUUAACUGUAGAAUUGCCAUUGAUACUGUCGCUCUUGAAUGCGGUUGAGGCAGGCGGAAUGUGUAAUGUAGCGGUGAAAUGCUUAGAUAUUACACAGAACACCGAUUGCGUAGGCAGCUUGCUAAACCGUGAUUGACGCUGAGGCACGAAAGCGUGGGGAGCAAACAGG
rnacentral:rRNA from 1 species